rnacentral:rRNA from 1 species
AACGAACGCUGGCGGCAUGCCUAACAUAUGCGAGUCGAACGAGACCUUCGGGUCUAGUGGCGCACGGGUGCGUAACGCGUGGGAACCUGCCCUUAGGUUCGGAAUAACUCCCCGAAAGGGGUGCUAAUACCGGAUAAUGUCUUCGGACCAAAGAUUUAUCGCCUUUGGAUGGGCCCGCGUUGGAUUAGCUAGUUGGUAAGGUAAAAGCCUACCAAGGCGACGAUCCAUAGCUGGUCUGAGAGGAUGAUCAGCCACACUGGGACUGAGACACGGCCCAGACUCCUACGGGAGGCAGCAGUGGGGAAUAUUGGACAAUGGGCGAAAGCCUGAUCCAGCAAUGCCGCGUGAGUGAUGAAGGCCUUAGGGUUGUAAAGCUCUUUUACCCGGGAUGAUAAUGACAGUACCGGGAGAAUAAGCGCCGGCUAACUCCGUG